rnacentral:lncRNA from 1 species
AAAUGUAGAUGCAACAAUAAUCCUUAUUUUCUACCUUUUUGUGCCAAUUUCGAUUUAAAUUGAGGGAACAUAGGGCUCAUGGAGCAUAGGGUUGAUAGAACAUAGAGAUGUGGGACCAUAGGGCUGAAGGAAGAUAGGUUGAGGGAACAUAGGGUUGAGGGAACAUAGGGCUGAGGGAACAUAGGGCUGAAGGAAGAUAGGUUGAGGGAACAUAGGGUUAAGGGAACAUAGGGCUGUGGGAACAUAGGGCAGAAAUAAGAUAGGUUGAGGGAACAUAGGGCUGAGGGAACAUAGGGUUGAGGGAACAUAGGGCUAAAGGACGAUAGGUUGAGGGAAAAUAGGGUUGAGGGAUCAUAGGGCAGAAGGAAUAUAGGCUGAGGGAACAUAGGGUUGAGGGAACAUAGGGUUGAGGGAAGUAAGGUUGAGGAAAAAGUGCUGAGGUAACAUAGGGCUGAAGGAAGAUAGGUUGAGUGAACAUAGGGCUGAGAGAACAUAGGACUGAGAGAACAUAGGGCUGAGGCAACAUAGCACUGAAGGAUUGAGGGAACAUAGGGUUGAGGGAAGUAAGGUUGAGGAAAAAGUGCUGAGGUAACAUAGGGCUGAAGGAAGAUAGGUUGAGUGAACAUAGGGCUGAAGGAAGAUUGGUAGAGGGAGCAUAGGCUGAGGGAACAUAGGUCUGAAGGAAGAUAGGUUUAGGGAACAUAGGGCUGCGGGAACAUAGGGUUGAGGGAACAUAGGGCCGAGGAAGAUAGGUUGAGGGAUCAUAGGGCUGAGGGAACAUAGGUUUGAGAGAACAUAGGGCUGAGGGAACAUAGGGCUGAAGGAAGAUAGGUUGAGGGAACAUAGGGUUGAGGGAACAUAGGGCUGAGGGAACAUAUGGCUGAAGGAACAUAGGGCUGAAGGAAGAUAGGUUGAGGGAACAUAGGGCUGAAGGAACAUAGGGUUGAGGGAACAUAGGGCUGAGGGAACAUAGGGUUGAGGGAACAUAGGGCUGAGGGAACAUGGGGCUGAAGGAAGAUAGGUUGAGGGAACAUAGGGCUGAGGGAACAUAGGGCUGAAGGAAGAUAGGUUGAGGGAACAUAGGGCUGAAGGAAGAUAGGUUGAGGGAACAUAGGGCUGAAGGAAGAUAGGUUGAGGGAACAUAGGGCUGAGGGAACAUAGGGUUGAGGGAACAUAGGGCUGAGGGAACAUGGGGCUGAAGGAAGAUAGGUUGAGGGAACAUAGGGCUGAGGGAACAUGGGGCUGAAGGAAGAUAGGUUGAGGGAACAUAGGGCUGAAGGAAGAUAGGUUGAGGGAACAUAGGGUUGAGGGAACAUACGGCUGAGGGAACAUGGGGCUGAAGGAAGAUAGGUUGAGGGAACACAGAGUUGAGGGAACACAGAGUUGAGGGAACACAGGGCUGAGGGAACAUAUGUCUGAAGGAACAUAGGGCUGAAGGAACAUAGGGCUGAGG